UACGUAGGGUGCAAGCGUUAAUCGGAAUUACUGGGCGUAAAGCGUGCGCAGGCGGUUAUGUAAGACAGUUGUGAAAUCCCCGGGCUCAACCUGGGAACUGCAUCUGUGACUGCAUAGCUAGAGUACGGUAGAGGGGGAUGGAAUUCCGCGUGUAGCAGUGAAAUGCGUAGAUAUGCGGAGGAACACCGAUGGCGAAGACAAUCCCCUGGACCUGUACUGACGCUCAUGCACGAAAGCGUGGGGAGCAAACAGG
rnacentral:rRNA from 1 species